UGGGGAAUUUUGGACAAUGGGCGAAAGCCUGAUCCAGCAAUGCCGCGUGUGUGAAGAAGGCCUUCGGGUUGUAAAGCACUUUUGUCCGGAAAGAAAUGGCUCUGGUUAAUACCUGGGGUCGAUGACGGUACCGGAAGAAUAAGGACCGGCUAACUACGUGCCAGCAGCCGCGGUAAUACGUAGGGUCCAAGCGUUAAUCGGAAUUACUGGGCGUAAAGCGUGCGCAGGCGGUUGUGCAAGACCGAUGUGAAAUCCCCGAGCUUAACUUGGGAAUUGCAUUGGUGACUGCACGGCUAGAGUGUGUCAGAGGGGGGUAGAAGUCCACGUGUAGCAGUGAAAUGCGUAGAGAUGUGGAGGAAUACCGAUGGCGAAGGCAGCCCCCUGGGAUAACACUGACGCUCAUGCACGAAAGCGUGGGGAGCAAACAGG
rnacentral:rRNA from 2 species